UACGUAGGGUGCGAGCGUUGUCCGGAAUUAUUGGGCGUAAAGCGUGCGCAGGCGGUUAUGUAAGUCAGGUGUGAAAUGCCCGGGCUUAACCUGGGAACUGCAUUUGUGACUGCAUGGCUAGAGUUUGGCAGAGGGGGGUAGAAUUCCACGUGUAGCAGUGAAAUGCGUAGAUAUGUGGAGGAACACCGAUGGCGAAGGCAGCCCCCUGGGUCAAGACUGACGCUCAUGCACGAAAGCGUGGGGAGCAAACAGG
rnacentral:rRNA from 1 species